rnacentral:lncRNA from 10 species
GCGGCCUUUGCUCUCACCGGGGUCGAGCCGCGGCGAGGGAACGGAUCGGAGACGCUGCGCCUGCUCAGAAGGUAGCGCAGCGGGGAAAGGCGGGAGAGCGUUAACUUCUGAGCCUGCGCGGUGGGAGUUGCUCAAGCAGGUGGUAGCGACUUGGCUUCCGGGCAGCGGGUAAAGAUAAGAAAACAGAAGACCAGAGCCCAAGGUCACAAAGUUAGUAAGUGACAAACCUAGACUUCCAAUCUAGCAAAUUGGUUAAACUCUAUGCCUCUCAAAAGGCCUUACAGGACAGGAUGGGAGAGCUGUUUGUGAGUACACACCACAGAGUACUUCUCCAAACAGUCCUGCUAACAAGGCCAUGCCAGCCCCUCGUGAACUUCAGAGCUGGACUUCACAGCCAGCGUGUAUUACUGUUUACAAGAGUUGGUCUCAAGUAUGUGAGGAUUAAAGCAAACUGACCCCCUUUCUAGAAAUAAAAUUCAAAGCACACAUUC